rnacentral:rRNA from 1 species
UACGGAGGGGGCGAGCGUUAUUCGGAAUUAUUGGGCGUAAAGGGCGCGUAGGCGGCUGGGCAAGUCAAAGGUGAAAUCCCUCGGCUCAACUGAGGAACUGCCUUUGAAACUGCCUGGCUUGAGGCCGGGAGGGGGUAGCGGAAUUCCCAGUGUAGCGGUGAAAUGCGUAGAUAUUGGGAGGAACACCAGUGGCGAAGGCGGCUACCUGGACCGGUUCUGACGCUGAUGCGCGAAAGCCAGGGGAGCAAACGGG